UACGGAGGGUGCAAGCGUUAAUCGGAAUUACUGGGCGUAAAGCGUGCGCAGGCGGUUUGUUAAGUCCGCUGUGAAAUCCCCGAGCUCAACUUGGGAAUUGCAGUGGAUACUGGCAAGCUGGAGUAUGGUAGAGGAAGGUGGAAUUCCCGGUGUAGCAGUGAAAUGCGUAGAGAUCGGGAGGAACACCAGUGGCGAAGGCGAGUCUCUGGACAUUUCCUGACGCUGAGGCACGAAAGCCAGGGGAGCAAACGGG
rnacentral:rRNA from 1 species